rnacentral:rRNA from 1 species
UGGCUCAGAUUGAACGCUGGCGGCAUGCUUUACACAUGCAAGUCGGACGGCAGCGGGGUAGUGCUUGCACUACUGCCGGCGAGUGGCGAACGGGUGAGUAAUAUAUUGGAACGUACCGAGUAAUGGGGGAUAACCAAUCGAAAGAUUGGCUAAUACCGCAUACGCUCUGAGGAGGAAAGCAGGGGACCUUCGGGCCUUGCGUUAUUCGAGCGGCCAAUAUCUGAUUAGCUAGUUGGUGGGGUAAAGGCCUACCAAGGCGACGAUCAGUAGCGGGUCUGAGAGGAUGAUCCGCCACACUGGGACUGAGACACGGCCCAGACUCCUACGGGAGGCAGCAGUGGGGAAUUUUGGACAAUGGGCGCAAGCCUGAUCCAGCCAUGCCGCGUGUCUGAAGAAGGCCUUCGGGUUGUAAAGGACUUUUGUUAGGGAAGAAAAAGGAACGGUUAAUACCCGUUUCUGCUGACGGUACCUAAAGAAUAAGCACCGGCUAACUACGUGCCAGCAGCCGCGGUAAUACGUAGGGUGCGAGCGUUAAUCGGAAUUACUGGGCGUAAAGCGGGCGCAGACGGUUACUUAAGCAGGAUGUGAAAUCCCCGGGCUCAACCUGGGAACUGCGUUCUGAACUGGGUGACUAGAGUGUGUCAGAGGGAGGUAGAAUUCCACGUGUAGCAGUGAAAUGCGUAGAGAUGUGGAGGAAUACCGAUGGCGAAAGGCAGCCUCCUGGGAUAACACUGACGUUCAUGCCCGAAAGCGUGGGUAGCAAACAGGAUUAGAUACCCU